AUGGGACCAUCCACACAGUGUCUGCCUCCUCCAGUCUCUCAACACCAGUGCAGAAGCCUGCUGCAGAGCAGAGCAACCCUACGUGGCCCAGCGAAAUAUCCUUUCCACACAAGCACCUUGAUGAGCAUGAUCCUGGCUUCAGCAACUGUGCAGUUGCUGCUGCACAGGAAAAAGUUCAUCAGCAGAGAAGACUCUCUGCUUGUGCCAGACCUUACUGAAGAAAAACAGACUCAGAACUUGGGUUCCAUUUUUUUUGUUGUAAAGAGGCUGGAUCUGCAUGCAGUGAGUCUCCAUGGGACACAUCCACCCCAUGGGGAAGCUGUGACUGGCACAUUGCCCUUUUUGUCUGUACAUUAAACAGUGCUGACUGCAAAUCAUAGAAUCAUAGGUUCACAGAAUGAAAAGGUUGAAAAGGACAUCAAAGAUCAUCUAGUUUGAAUCCCCCUGCCAUGGGCAGGGUCACCAACCACUAAACGAGGCUGCCCAGAGCCACGUCCAGCCUGACCUUGAAUGCCUGCAGGGACGGGGCAUCCACAGCCUCUCUGGGCAACCUGUUCCAGCUCAUCACCACCCUCUGAGUGAAAAAAUUCCUCCUAACAUCUAACCUAAGUCUCCUCUGUCUUAGUUUAAAGCCAUUCCCCCUUGUCCUAUCACUAUCCACCCAUGUAAACAGUCGUACACCCUCUUGUUUAUAUGCUCCCUUUAAAUAUUGGAAGGCCACAAUGAGGUCUUCCUGCAGCCUUCUCUUCUCCAAGCUAAACAAGCCCAGCUCCCUCAACCUUUCUUCAUAGAAGAGGUGCUCCAGCCCUCUGAUCAUCUUGGUGGCCCUCCUCUGGACUUGCUCUAAGAGCUCCACGUCUUUCUUGUGCUGAGGGCCCCAGGCCUGGACACAGUACUCCAGAUGGGGCCUCACAAGGGCUGAGUAGAGGGGGACAGUCACUUCCUUCUCCCUGCUGGCCACUUCUCUUUUGAUGCAGCCCAGAACACAGUUGGCCUUCCAGGCUGCAAGUGCAUACCGCUGGCUCAUGUCCGGCUUCUCAUCCACCAGGACCCCAAAGUCCUUCACAGCAUAUCAACCAUCUCAUAGAGGAUUGUCACCUAUGCAUGGUGUGGAAAUUGCCACUGGUGGCAGGGCAAUUUGAGGAGGAAAAUAAGUGUCCUAUGGAGGGGGAUGUUCACAGCCAUGUCUUCUGUGAGCCAUUGAUUUGCCCAGGGCAGCCCAACAUGGGCAGACAAUCAUGCUGAACACACACUAGUCAAAAGCUUUCACUGGGGGCACCAAGUAUUGUAGGAAGGGACCUGGUUCCCUGCUGAGCACUGGGGCAGAGGGUCUUGGGUGCAUGAUAUUGCCCAGCAGACACAUCCUUAUAUGCACAAGCCAAGACAGGGGGUGGUAGAGGAGGCAGGGGAGAAAGGAGCCAGCUGCCUCACAUAUGAAAAGAUUUACCAAGCACCCAUGGUUAUAUUGGUUAUAUAUCUCCAUGCCCUGGAGAAUAAUGCAAUUUCUAUCAUUACUGCUAGCGGGAUGGUUUGAUGGCCAGGGCUUCAUUUGAGUUGCCUAAAACAUUAACAAAGGGGAAAGUGAAAACAAACAUGAAUGUUGUAAUAAAAAUGAUGAGGAUUUUUGGGUAGGCUGCCA
ensembl:lncRNA